rnacentral:rRNA from 1 species
GGUCCGUUGCUAAGACUGGAUAGGAAAUAAAAAGGCAUCUUUUUAUUUUUAAAAGACCUUUUUCGGAAGGUAUGCUUAAAGAGGGGCUUGCGUCACAUUAGUUAGUUGGCAGGGUAAAGGCCUACCAAGACUAUGAUGUGUAGCUGGACUGAGAGGUUGAACAGCCACAUUGGGACUGAGACACGGCCCAAACUCCUACGGGAGGCAGCAGUAGGGAAUUUUCGGCAAUGGAGGAAACUCUGACCGAGCAACGCCGCGUGAACGAUGAAGUAUUUCGGUAUGUAAAGUUCUUUUAUUGAAGAAGAAAAAAUAGUGGAAAAACUAUCUUGACGAUAUUCAAUGAAUAAGCCCCGGCAAACUAUGUGCCAGCAGCCGCGGUAAUACAUAGGGGGCGAGCGUUAUCCGGAAUUAUUGGGCGUAAAGGGUGCGUAGGCGGUUUAAUAAGUCUAUAGUUUAAUUUCAGUGCUUAACACUGUCCUGCUAUAGAAACUAUUAGACUAGAGUGAGAUAGAGGCAAGUGGAAUUCCAUGUGUAGCGGUAAAAUGCGUAAAUAUAUGGAGGAACACCAGAGGCGUAGGCGGCUUGCUGGGUCUUUACUGACGCUGAGGCACGAAAGCGUGGGGAGCAAACAGGAUUAGAUACCCUGGUAGUCCACGCCGUAAACGAUGAGUACUAAGUGUCGGGAUUACUCGGUACUGAAGUUAACACAUUAAGUACUCCGCCUGAGUAGUACGUACGCAAGUAUGAAACUUAAAGGAAUUGACGGGACUCCGCACAAGCGGUGGAUCAUGUUGUUUAAUUCGAAGAUACACGAAAAACCUUACCAGGUCUUGACAUACUCUGCAAAGCUAUAGCAAUAUAGUGGAGGUUAUCAGGGAUACAGGUGGUGCAUGGUUGUCGUCAGCUCGUGUCGUGAGAUGUUAGGUUAAGUCCUAAAACGAGCGCAACCCUUGUCAUUAGUUGCCAGCAUGUCAUGAUGGGCACUUUAAUGAGACUGCCAAUGAAAAAUUGGAGGAAGGUGAGGAUCACGUCAAAUCAUCAUGCCCCUUAUGAUCUGGGCUACAAACGUGAUACAAUGGCUGUUACAAAGAGUAGCUGAAACGCAAGUUUAUAGCCAAUCUCAUAAAAGCAGUCUCAGUUCGGAUUGAAGUCUGCAACUCGACUUCAUGAAGUUGGAAUCGCUAGUAAUCGCGAAUCAGCAUGUCGCGGUGAAUACGUUCUCGGGGUUUGUACACACCGCCCGUCA